UUAAUUCGAAGCAACGCGAAGAACCUUACCUAAGCUUGACAUCCCAAUGACAUCUCCUUAAUCGGAGAGUUCCCUUCGGGGACAUUGGUGACAGGUGGUGCAUGGUUGUCGUCAGCUCGUGUCGUGAGAUGUUGGGUUAAGUCCCGCAACGAGCGCAACCCUUGUCUUUAGUUGCCAUCAUUAAGUUGGGCACUCUAGAGAGACUGCCAGGGAUAACCUGGAGGAAGGUGGGGAUGACGUCAAAUCAUCAUGCCCCUUAUGCUUAGGGCUACACACGUGCUACAAUGGGUAGUACAGAGGGUUGCCAAGCCGUAAGGUGGAGCUAAUCCCUUAAAGCUACUCUCAGUUCGGAUUGUAGGCUGAAACUCGCCUACAUGAAGCUGGAGUUACUAGUAAUCGCAGAUCAGAAUGCUGCGGUGAAUGCGUUCCCGGGUCUUGUACACACCGCCCGUCACACCACGAGAGUUGGAGACGCCCGAAGCCGAUUAUCUAACCUUUUGGAAGAAGUCGUCGAAGGUGGAAUCAAUAACUGGGGUGAAGUCGUAACAAGGUAGCCGUAUCGGAAGGUGCGGCUGGAUCACCUCCUUUCUAAGGA
rnacentral:rRNA from 1 species